GAUUUCUGACUGGUCACAUUUUGCCGGCCGCUAUUUGGCGUGUUAGUGCUUUAUGUUCUAGUCAUCCUUCCAAUCGCUGCUUGCUUUUCUUUAUUGAUUGGCAAGUGGUAUUGGAUCUUUUACUUUGAAAAAAUUAGAGUGUUUCAAGCAGGCUUUCUGCCAUGAAUACAUUAGCAUGGAAUAAUAAUUUAGGACUUCGGUUCUAUUUUGUUGGUUUCUAGGACUGAAGUAAUGAUUGAUAGGGAUAGUUGGGGGUGCUAGUAUUCAGCGGCCAGAGGUGAAAUUCUCGGAUUCGCUGAAGACUAACUUAUGCGAAAGCAUU
rnacentral:rRNA from 1 species